ANGUGGNCGGCAGGCUUACACAUGCAGUCGAGCGGGGGAAGGUAGCUUGCUACCUGACCUAGCGGCGGACGGGUGAGUAAUGCUUAGGAAUCUGCCUAUUAGUGGGGGACAACAUUUCGAAAGGAAUGCUAAUACCGCAUACGCCCUACGGGGGAAAGCAGGGGAUCUUCGGACCUUGCGCUAAUAGAUGAGCCUAAGUCGGAUUAGCUAGUUGGUGGGGUAAAGGCCUACCAAGGCGACGAUCUGUAGCGGGUCUGAGAGGAUGAUCCGCCACACUGGGACUGAGACACGGCCCAGACUCCUACGGGAGGCAGCAGUGGGGAAUAUUGGACAAUGGGGGGAACCCUGAUCCAGCCAUGCCGCGUGUGUGAAGAAGGCCUUUUGGUUGUAAAGCACUUUAAGCGAGGAGGAGGAGCUCUAGACUAAUACUCUAGAUGCUUGGACGUUACUCGCAGAAUAAGCACCGGCUAACUCUGUGCCAGCAGCCGCGGUAAUACAGAGGGUGCAAGCGUUAAUCGGAUUUACUGGGCGUAAAGCGUGCGUAGGUGGCCAAUUAAGUCAAAUGUGAAAUCCCCGAGCUUAACUUGGGAAUUGCAUUCGAUACUGGUUGGCUAGAGUAUGGGAGAGGAUGGUAGAAUUCCAGGUGUAGCGGUGAAAUGCGUAGAGAUCUGGAGGAAUACCGAUGGCGAAGGCAGCCAUCUGGCCUAAUACUGACACUGAGGUACGAAAGCAUGGGGAGCAAACAGGAUUAGAUACCCUGGUAGUCCAUGCCGUAAACGAUGUCUACUAGCCGUUGGGGCCUUUGAGGCUUUAGUGGCGCAGCUAACGCGAUAAGUAGACCGCCUGGGGAGUACGGUCGCAAGACUAAAACUCAAAUGAAUUGACGGGGGCCCGCACAAGCGGUGGAGCAUGUGGUUUAAUUCGAUGCAACGCGAAGAACCUUACCUG
rnacentral:rRNA from 1 species